CCUACGGGAGACAGCAGUGAGGAAUAUUGGUCAAUGGCCGGAAGGCUGAACCAGCCAAGCCGCGUGAAGGACGAAGGUGCCAAGCAUUGUAAACUUCUUUUGUCAAGGGACAAAAUCAGGCUCGAGAGCCUGACCGAGGGUACUUGAAGCAAAAGCAUCGGCUAACCUCGUGCCAGCAGCCGCGGUAAUACGGAGGAUGCUAGCGUUAUCCGGAUUUAUUGGGGUUAACGGGUGCGUAGGCGGACGGUUAAGUCAGCGGUAAAAGCCCGGGGCUCAACCCCGGCGAGCCGUUGAAACUGGCUGUCUUGAGAUGUCGAGAGGUAUGCAGAAUGCGCAGUGUAGCGGUGAAAUGCUUAGAUAUUGCGCAGAACUCCGAUUGCGAAGGCAGCAUACCGGCGGCGAUCUGACGCUGAGGCACGAAAGCGUGGGUAGCGAACAGGAUUAGAUACCCGGGUAGUC
rnacentral:rRNA from 1 species